UACAGAGGGUGCGAGCGUUGUCCGGAAUCACUGGGCGUAAAGGGCGCGUAGGCGGCGCGGUAAGCGUGCGGUGAAAGCCCGGGGCUCAACCCCGGGUCGGCCGUGCGGACUGCCGGGCUGGAGCACUGUAGAGGCAGGUGGAAUUCCGGGUGUAGCGGUGGAAUGCGUAGAGAUCCGGAAGAACACCGGUGGCGAAGGCGGCCUGCUGGGCAGUGGCUGACACUGAGGCGCGACAGCGUGGGGAGCAAACGGG
rnacentral:rRNA from 1 species